GAUUAAGUUAUUAAGGGCGCACGGUGGAUGCCUUGGCACUAGAAGCCGAUGAAGGACGUUACUAACGACGAUAUGCUUUGGGGAGCUGUAAGUAAGCUUUGAUCCAGAGAUUUCCGAAUGGGGAAACCCAGCAUGAGUUAUGUCAUGUUAUCGAUAUGUGAAUACAUAGCAUAUCAGAAGGCACACCCGGAGAACUGAAACAUCUUAGUACCCGGAGGAAGAGAAAGAAAAUUCGAUUCCCUUAGUAGCGGCGAGCGAAACGGGAAGAGCCCAAACCAACAAGCUUGCUUGUUGGGGUUGUAGGACACUCUAUACGGAGUUACAAAGGACGACAUUAGACGAAUCAUCUGGAAAGAUGAAUCAAAGAAGGUAAUAAUCCUGUAGUCGAAAAUGUUGUCUCUCUUGAGUGGAUCCUGAGUACGACGGAGCACGUGAAAUUCCGUCGGAAUCUGGGAGGACCAUCUCCUAAGGCUAAAUAC
rnacentral:rRNA from 1 species